rnacentral:snRNA from 1 species
UUGCUUUGGCAGCACACAUGCUAAAAUUGGAAUGAUACAGAGAAGAUUAGUCUGGCCCCUGCACAAGGAUAAUAAACAAAUUUGUGAAGCAUUCCAUAUUGAA